ensembl:rRNA 5S_rRNA 5S ribosomal RNA
GUCUGUGGCCAUACCACCCUAAAACCAUCCUUAUCUUGUCUGAUCUCAUGAAUUAAGCAGGGUUGGGCCUGGUGAGGAGUCGGAUGGGAGACUUAAGUUCUACUCCCAGUGUUCCUCCUAUU